AUACAUUAUCUUUGGAACCGAAGAGGGCAUCUAUACGCUGAACCUAAACGAGCUUCACGAAGCCACCAUGGAACAGCUGUUUCCGCGGAGGUGUACGUGGUUGUAUGUGAUCAACAAUACAUUGAUGUCGCUCUCAGG